CACGAACCCUGAGGUUAGACAAAAAAUCAAGAGAUGGGGGAGAAGUCGUACAGAGGCCAUGUCCUAUUACUUCCAUAUCCAGGCCAAGGUCACAUAAACCCAAUGCUUCACUUCUCUCGACGCUUAAUCUCCAAAGGUCUCAAAGUCACCUUAGUAAAUUCCAUUUUCAUUUCCAACUCUAUGAACUUCGGUUCCUCUAUCGGCUCCGUUCACCUUGACGUCAUCUCCGACGGUUUCGACAACGGUGGCUUCGCAGAAGCUGCCAGCAUCGACGAGUAUCUUGCCCGACUAAAAGCCGCCGGUUCAAGAACCCUAGCAGAUCUCAUCAAGAAAUAUAGUUGUUCCUCCAACCCUGUUGUCUGUCUAAUUUAUGAACCUUUCUUGCCGUGGGCCUUGGAUGUAGCCAAAGAGCAUGGUCUGUAUGCUGCUGCGUUUUUUACUCAGCCGUGUGCGGUUGAUUUUAUUUACUACAAUAUUCAUCAUAAGCUGUUGACGGUGCCGGUUUCUUCCACGCCGGUGUCUAUUUCUGGGUUACCGUUGCUUGAUCUUAGGGACAUGCCGUCGUUCCUUCAUGUGCCUAAAUCAUAUCCGGCUUACUUUGAGAUGGUAUUGAAUCAAUUUUCCAAGACAGAGAAAGCUGAUUACAUCCUUAUCAACACCUUCUACAAACUAGAGAAAGAGGUGGUGGAUGUGAUGUCAAAAGUUUGUCCAGUGCUGACAAUUGGGCCAACAGUUCCAUCAAUAUACUUGGACAAGAGGAUUGAAGAUGAUGAUGAUUAUGGGCUCGAUCUCUAUUCAUUAGAUGCCUCAACUUCCCUCAACUGGAUCAGCACCAAGCCACCAAGGUCAGUUGUAUAUGUGGCCUUUGGAAGCAUGGCCGAUCUAAGCGACAAGCAAAUGGAGGAACUUGCAUGGGGUUUAAAGAGAACCAAUUUCAACUACUUGUGGGUCGUUAGGACUUCUGAGCAAGCAAAACUACCGAAAGGUUUUAUGCAAGAUUUGGGAGAUAAAGGCUUGGUUGUGAACUGGAGUCCUCAGGUGAAACUUCUACGAAAUGAGGCAAUGGGGUGCUUUUUUACCCAUUGUGGUUGGAACUCAACAAUUGAGGCCUUGAGCUUGGGUGUGCCAAUGGUGGCAAUGCCUCAAUGGACUGACCAACCACCCAAUGCUAAGCUUGUUGAAGAUGUUUGGAAGGUGGGAAUUAGAGUGAAGGUUAAUGAGGAGGGAAUAGUGACUAGAGAAGAAAUUGAGUAUUGCAUAAAUGAAGUAAUGGUGGGAGAAAGGAGAAAAGAGAUGAGAAGAAAUUGUGAAAAAUGGAGGGAGUUGGCUGUGGAGGCUAUUAGUGAAGGUGGAACUUCUGAUAAAAACAUUGAUGAAUUUGUGUCUAAAUUAACUAGCUCUACAAGUCAUUGAAUUAAAAAGAUUGUAUUGGAUAAAUAUUUAAUCUUAUUUUGUCUUGUUUGAUUUAAUUUAAGUUUGUGUCCCACUUCCUUAGGCUAUGUUUACACUAUGUUUACAUGGUGUAAUUAAAGUUAUAAUGUAAUCACGAUUACAUUGCAUAUUUGAUUGUAUUGUUUAGUGACACUAAAAAA
rnacentral:misc_RNA from 1 species